rnacentral:rRNA from 1 species
CCUACGGGAGGCAGCAGUAAGGAAUAUUGGUCAAUGGAGGCAACUCUGAACCAGCCAUGCCGCGUGCAGGAAGAAGGCCCUAUGGGUCGUAAACUGCUUUUGUACCAGAGAAAACCCGAGUACGUGUACUCGGUUGAUAGUAUGGUAAGAAUAAGCAUCGGCUAACUUCGUGCCAGCAGCCGCGGUAAGACGAAGGAUGCAAGCGUUAUCCGGAUUCAUUGGGUUUAAAGGGUGCGUAGGCGGACUGAUAAGUCAGUGGUGAAAUCUCUCGGCUUAACCGAGAAACUGCCAUUGAUACUGUUAGUCUAGAGUAUAGAUGACGUUGGCGGAAUAUGACAUGUAGUGGUGAAAUACUUAGAUAUGUCAUAGAACACCGAUUGCGAAGGCAGCUAACGAAACUAUAACUGACGCUGAGGCACGAAAGUGCGGGGAUCAAACAGGAUUAGAUACCCUGGUAGUCCGCACCGUAAACGAUGAUUACUCGUUGUUGGCGAUAUAGUACGUCGAGCGACCGAACGACGAACGACGAGUAAGUAAUACCACCGUACGGGUAGGUACGGACCCGGACCGACGGUACGGAAACGUAACGAAAGAAAGUAGUACGGACGUAGAGACGAGACGACGGACGACGACGAGGGAGGGAGGNG